CUGAACUUUGAAUCCCAUGUUAUAGACCUCGGAUUCAUCGACAUCAGAGACCGUAGGAUCACAUGUCCAAACUACAUGUACCCAAAAAAUAGACCCAAGUACCCAACCAUUGCUCAACACAUGUCAGAUACCCAGAUAGAGAGAGACACAUAGCUCUCCCUUUCAUGUGUUUUUUUUAGAGGCUCUCUCCUUUUGUUUGGUUUGGUUAUCACAAUCAUCCAAAUUCACGAACCACAGAGAAAACAGAGGAAGGAAAGGAGAGGGGGUUUUGGUUUGGCCAUGGAGAAUCAUCACAAGGAGGAAGAGGAGGAGGAGGAGGAGGAGGAAGAGGAGGUUGUGCAGGUUAAGGAGGAGGAUGAUAAGGUGGCUGGUGAAGAGGAGGAGGUGGUGGAUGGAGACGAAAUAGGUUCAAGCUUGACCAUGGAGAGGGUGGCUGCAGCUAAGAAAUUCAUUGAGAGCCAUUACAAGUCUCAGAUGAAGCACAUCCAAGAACGCAAGGAGAGGCGUUCUGUGCUACAAAAGAAGUUAGAGUCUUCCCAUGUACCGGAAGAUGAACAGAUGGAUCUACUGAAAGAUUUAGAGCGCAAGGAGACCGAGUAUAUAAGGUUAAAAAGACAUAAAAUAUGUGUUGAGGAUUUUGACCUUCUAUCCAUCAUAGGCAGGGGAGCCUUUGGAGAGGUAAGACUCUGUCGAGAGAAGAAAUCGGGUAACAUCUAUGCCAUGAAAAAAUUGAAAAAGUCUGAAAUGCUUAGUAGGGGACAGGUUGAGCAUGUCAGAGCUGAAAGGAAUGUACUUGCAGAAGUUGCCAAUGAUUGCAUCGUGAAACUGUAUUACUCCUUUCAGGAUGCAGACCACUUAUAUCUUAUAAUGGAAUAUUUACCUGGAGGUGACAUAAUGACUUUGUUGAUGAGGGAAGAAACUUUGACUGAAACUGUGGCUAGAUUUUACAUUGCCCAAAGCGUUUUAGCCAUAGAGUCUAUUCAUAAACACAACUACAUUCAUCGGGAUAUAAAACCAGACAACCUUCUAUUGGACAAAAACGGUCAUAUGAAACUGUCUGAUUUUGGUCUUUGCAAGCCACUUGACUGCUCGAAUCUUUCAUCUAUAAAUGAAAAUGAAAUAUUGGAUGAUGACAAAAACUUGAAUGAUACCAUGGAUGCUGAUGGAGCCUGCCAAAAUGGCCAAGGUGGUAGGCGCUGGAAAAGUCCCUUUGAACAACUUCAACAUUGGCAAAUAAACAGGAGGAAGUUGGCAUUUUCUACUGUUGGAACUCCAGACUACAUUGCUCCAGAAGUGUUACUGAAAAAGGGUUAUGGUGUGGAGUGCGACUGGUGGUCUCUUGGUGCAAUAAUGUAUGAGAUGCUUGUUGGUUAUCCCCCAUUUUACUCUGAUGAUCCUGUAACAACAUGCAGAAAGAUUGUGCACUGGAAGAAUCAUUUAAAAUUUCCAGAUGAGGCAAGAUUGACGCCUGAAGCAAAGGAUCUAAUAUGCAGGUUGCUUUGUGGCGUUCAACAUAGGCUUGGAACCGGAGGGGCAGAUGAAAUUAAAGCUCAUCCUUGGUUUAAAGAUAUCGCGUGGGACAGGCUCUAUGAAACCGAGGCAGCAUUCAAACCACAAGUCAAUGGGGAGCUUGACACUCAGAAUUUUAUGAAAUUUGAUGAGGUUGAACAACCAAAACCAAGCAGAUCUGGAUCUGGCCAACUGAGAAAGAAGCUCUUAACUCCUCAAGAUCUCAGUUUUGUUGGCUAUACAUAUAAGAAUUUUGCUGCUAUCAAGGGGAUGAAUCUUUCUACUGGUAGAUAAAGGGAGCUUGUCAACAACACAGAGGCCCUCAUCAGUUGAAUCCUCCUCUCACAGUGAUUCUGCAAUCAAUUAUUCCACCUGAUACUCAAUGCACAAUACAGAAAGCAUGGAUGAUGGUUGCACCACCCUAUGGGAAUGACUUUUUGCUUGUGAAGAGUGACCCGACUUUUGUUUCAUGUAUGUAUUAUACAUUCUGUGAUGAUGGUGGAUAAGCCUGCUAAAUUUUCAACUGGCCUUGCCUUACUUUCAGUGCCUACAGCCACCUAUAUUGCAGAAUUUACAGCAUGUUAGGAUCAGCUUAUUUUUCUUCAGAAUCAAUUUUGACAUCCAGAAGCUACUCACAGAAAAAUUCUCCCUAGAAUUGAUAAGCUUCUUCCUAGAAUUGAUUUUGGGUGUAGAAUUAAUUGUAGAAAGAUUUUCAAACAUGCACUUAGUGUACAGAGAUAUUUGUGUACCUUGAGGAUUGGUUCACUUGCAGCUCUGCUGGUAGUCAUAUAUGUGAAAGUUUUGAAGCCAAACAGGUAUUUCUAAACUUGUCACUCUGUCACCUUAGAAGAUAUGUGCCAUCACCUGUGGCAAAUUCUGACCCUUUUCCUGAAUGCAGUUCAGUUUGUUAUGAUUAUGAUAAUGUAAUGUUGACACAACACAAAAUCUGAGUGACUGAGUGGUAUCAAUGGCAACUUUGUUCUGAUUUAUGAA